AGGAAAUAGGAAUGUUGGAUUGAUAUAUUUCUCCGCCGCCCAGAACUCGUUUUUCCCUCUAACCAGAACUAUAACUCCGUCGGGCUUUUGCCAGUUGCUCAAGAGAUUCGUAUUAAUGAUGUCCCUGCUGAGGAUUGAGAUUUGAGUUUUUAAUUGUGAUCUGGAGCAUUUCAGAAGACUUAAAUGAGUAAUGACUCAUGACUGACAGUAGGUAAGUGGAUAGUCAAAGAUGAUAAAAAUUAAAAAGGAAAAAGAAGAGAAAGUCCAUUUGUGAAUGAAAGGCAUCAAACAUAACUGUAUAGAUAGAUGAGGGCAUUCCAAGAACUCGGGACCUCUUGCACCUAAAGCGAGAAUCAUACCACUACACCAAAUCUUCAGUUAUUAACUGGCAAUUGGCAAAAGCUUGAGUUCCUUUGCAGUUCUGCAUUUAGCCCUUUCACAUGUUUCUCUUGGUUUUACUAUUUGCAUAUGAUCUAUAAUGCAAUUAUUGUUUCUCCAGUUCUCCCUAUUUGUUUUUUUGUGAUACUCUACCAGUUAUUGCAAAUGCUUUUAAAUAAAAUUUAAUAUUUAUAUAACCAUCGUCUGGUAAUGAUCCCAAUCCAUAUUUUAAUUAUCUAUGAUAAGGUUGAAGUUUGAGAUUUAUGGAGGAACUGGCUAUUAUAAUUACUUGACAAAAUUGUAAUUAAUCAAAUUGAUAAUGACAUAGAAAAGAAAUGAGUUUAUUUGUGGAAUAUAAUGUAUGCUAAAAGGGGCAUUCCAAAACCAGACUCGGGACCUCUCAUCCAAAGCUAAAAUGAUAACACUAGACCAGCUGCCCUGUUGUUAUCUGUCUUCUUAAAUAUAUUCUACUCUAGACCAACUGCCCUGUAGUACACAGUGAAUAACACUCAAGGGCUUGAUUUGUAGAGGACUACUGGCCUAGCUAGAAUUUUUGUGUUUUAACAACAUAUAAUUUCUGUACCCUUUGAUAGACAUAAUGGAGUGACAUGGUGAAGGGUCUAGUGAAUGAGAAUGACAGCCAUAUUCAAUUUAACCAAUGUUCCAUUGCUUUAUGAAGAAUAAUAAAAGAGUCAAUUUUGUUAACCGUCCAUGUACUUGACACUUGACAGUGGUAUUUGGACUGGUAUAUUCUGGCAUUAUGUAGAAAUGGGAUUUUAGUGUCUCUAGCUACUAAUUGUGCUUCUAUAACUGCCAUUGCCAAACAGACUAUCCCCAUACUUUUCUUUAGACUGUUUCUCUAGCUUUACUUUUAUUGGCAAGUUAUUAGCAAGUCUCACUGAUUUCAUUUUGUUGUUGUUAAUGACCAUAUUCUGCUGCUCUGGAAUGCUUUAGGCAAGUUCACCUUAAAGCUUAAAAUAAUUUCUGAAAAUAUCUGAUUUUCUUUCUCAUUCAUGGUAGAUUGAAUACCUAUUCUCCAGGUGUUAUUUAGACUGUAAUGUGAUAUCAGUUUCAGACUUCCAGUUUUACUUGCCACAGUUCACCACCUUCACAUUUCAGUAUCUUUGUUGUCCAGUUGUCCUCAAGUUCCAAAAAUAAUACAACACAUAGAUAAGGCUUAUAUAUAUUCAUAAUUAGAGCUGGGCAUUCUGAGAAUUGGCUAAUGACCUUCUAGCUCUUGCACCACAGGUAGAGUCAUAACACUAGGCCAAAUAUCCAAUUGUUUGCUUAAAGCUCUUAAUCAAAGUUUUUUUAACUGGGAAUCAAUCUCCCUCGAGCUCCUAUAUACCAUGUUCAUAGAUCUCAUGUUUUAACGUCAUUAUUUUAGAAGCCCUGGCAUAUUUUAGAAAAUGUCGUAUCUUUUCCUGAUGGCUUUAUGGUGUGCUGCUAAAUUGGUUCCUCGUUUUUUUGUGUGUGUGUGUGGUUGUUGUUGUUGUUAUCUAAUGUGGCUUGAUACCUGUUGACUCUUUGGAUGGCUAGUUUGUUAAUUGUUUAUUCUUAUUUAAUUAUAUAAUCAUUUAUACAGCACUUCGUCUACAUCAUAAUUAUAUCUGUUGAGGGAUUUAUCUUUGUUGCUGCACUAGUCCCGUGGAUCAUUUGGACAUUUAGUGAGGGAAGUGAUUUCGCAAAUCACAACCUAUAUAGCUGUUAAUCAGUAACAAUUCUGUAUAUGUUACAAACACAUUUUCUUUGUUUGACUUUUUUUUAGAUCUAAGCAGUUAUAGUUUUCAUAAAUGAUCUCCUAAAAGAUUGUAGUCAAAUCUGAGUUUUUCUUCAUCAUGGACCACAUAUUGCUAUUUAGGAAUUGUUUCUUGUCAGACUGUUUUCUUUGAUAGGUAUAAAAAAAUAAAUAUUGUAAAUUAGCAGAAAUAAAUGCAGGUGAGAUGUCCAUCCAAUCUCUCAUCUUUCAGAUCGAAUCUCUCUGGCACAUUAAUAAAUAAAUAUAGUGAUUGGGGUAAAAGCAAAUAAAUCUAUCUAAUUACUUGUUUAAAAGGGGCAUUCCGAGAAUCGAACUCGGGACCUCUCGCACCCGAAGCGAGAAUCAUACCACUAGACCAAAUGCCCAAUUUAUUCUUCACAUUCUGCCUUUUCUAAUCCCAUCUUUGUUGUUCAUCAGGACUAUUUUUUAAAAUAAACUCGGUCUUGGAUGGCUGAUUAAUCAUUGCUACCACAGUGUAGUUACUGAAUAGAGAAACCUGUGGUAAUUGAUUAACAUACGAAAAUGGUUUGGACGUGACAGAUAUUUGUUGAAAGUGUGUGCCAAAAUAAAAGCUAUGGAAAAAAUGGAAUAUCCUUGUGAAUAUCUUUUGCAUCAUUGCAAUUUACCAUUUUUUGUGCUAUUUAUGAACUAUAAUGCAGUUAUCGCUUCCUGCAAUUUUUUUUAUGAAAGUUUGAUGCGCUAUUGCUAGUACUUUAUUUUGUUUUCCUUUCUAUUUUUGAAUUUCAAAAGUUGAUCACUAUUUCUCUUUUACUAAUCGAUGCUGUGGUUGGAGUUUAAGUACGGAGAAGUUAGUCCAUCAUAAUUUCUUGAGCAGCUGAAUGUAGGUAAAUUGACAGUGGAAUGGAAAAAGGUAAUUAAAAGAGUUAUUUGUGGAAGAUAAUGUAGAUAAAAAAGGGGCAUUCCGAGAAUCGAACUCGGGACCUCUCGCACCCAAAGCGAGAAUCAUACCACUAGACCAAAUGCCCUGUUAUCAUCUGUCUUAGAUUUGAUUUCAUAUAGGGAAUAACACCUGGGACUUUGAUUUUUUGGAUAGUUGACCUAGUUGGAUUUUUGUGAGGACCAUGUGUUGUUACUUGCUAAUUUGCUAUUCAGGAUUUGUAUAUUGUCAGGCAGAUUUCUUUGAUGGGAAAUAACCAUUCAUUAUUGUAAAAUUAGCAGAGAUACACCUUGGCUAUCCAAUCUCUCAUCCGUCAGACUGUCACAGAUCCAACCUGUCAGACUCAUUAGUUGAAAAAUAAGUGAAUUGAGAGAAGCCAAAAAAAUAACUAUUUACUAGUUACUUUUUUAAAAGGGGCAUUCCGAGAAUCGAACUCGGGACCUCUCGCACCCAAAGCGAGAAUCAUACCACUAGACCAAAUGCCCUGAUGUCAUGUCUUCUUGUAUAUAAUUGUAUAUAGUGCUGUAUACUUCGGUAGACAUGUAGGAGUCACAGUUAGUUUGGUUAAAAGUAGUACUCAGUAGUAAAUAUCAGCUUUGUACAAAUUCAUAUGUUUCAUUUCUUCUUAACAAGAUACCUAUCGUUCAUUGUUUGCAAAUCAUCUGCCUAACCUGCAUCCAUCUCUUUCCCAGUUGCCUUUUGGAUCUGUUCGUUCAUGCAUUAUGCAUCAUUAUUCGUUAAGGGGGGAUUUUAGGAUAUAUAUAGCUAGUUCUGAUAAUACCAUGAGUCGGUGACUGUCAUCACAUUGCAGUAUGCUUGUUGCUCUCCAGAUUCCAAUAAUAAAAUUAGAAGAAAAAUAGGGUUUUAUGUUCAUUAUUGGACUGGGCAAUUCUGAGCAUCAACUUGGGUCAUCUUGGCUCUGCACUCAAAUGAGAGUCACACCACUAGAUCAGAUGCCCUGUUCUUUACUUAAGCUCUUAACUAACCUGUUGACCUGAAUACUUAAUAUUCCAAAACUUUAUUUUGGCUAGAAUUAUAUUAUUAGUGCACUUAUACAUUAGUUGACUUCUAUUGUACUUAUUAAACUUUCCUUGUUAUCCUAUAACUAUUAAGGCAUAAAAAGUAUUUUCUUAGAGGGACAUUCCGAGAAUCAAACUCGGGACCUCUCACACAGAAAGCGAGAAUCAUACCACUAGACCAAAUGCCCUGUAGUCAUAUGUCUUCUUACAACUGUACAUAGGGCUGUAUACUUUGGUAGCCACGUAGGAGUCAUAGUUAAUUUGGUUAAAAGUCUAGUAAAUAUCAGCUGUGUACAAGUAUAUUAAUGUUUCAUUUCUAUUUUUAACAAGAAAUCUAAGAUUCAUUGUUUGCUAAGUCAUGUGUAAAAUAACCUGAAUCCAUCUUUUCCUCAGUUGCCGUUGGACCAGUUCAUUCAGACAUUAUGUAUAAUUAAUGGGGGAUCUUAGGAUAAUUAUUUUUUAGUUCUGAUCAUACAUGACUAGGUGAGUGUCAUCACAUUGCAGCAUCCUUUUUGCUCUCCAGAUUCCGAUAUAAUAAAAAUAAGAAAUUAAGGUUUUUAUACUCACUAUUGGACUGGGUAAUUCUGAGCAUAGACUUGGGACUUCAUGGCUCUGCACUCAAAGGAAGAUUCAUACAUUACCACUAUAUCAGAUGCCCUGUAGUUUACUAAAGCUCUUAAAUCAACCUGUUGUCUGAAUACAUAGUUUGCCAUACGUUUAUUGACUAGAACUAUAUUAUCGGUGCACUUAUGCGUUACACAGUUGACUUUUUUAUGUCAUUAAAGGCAUAAAAAAUAUUUUCUUAGAGGGGCAUUCCGAGAAUCGAACUCGGGACCUCUCGCACCCAAAGCGAGAAUCAUACCACUAGACCAAAUGCCCUGUGAUAUACUAAGGCUCUUAGUCAAUCUCUUUCACUUGGAAAUGAUACAUCAUCAGUUAUAUUCUUUCUUGAAUGCUUUUACUAGCAAGAGUAGAGUGAUAUUGAUAUAUUUUUCUAAAAAAUAUAACUUGUCAUUUGAUGCCCUAUUUUUUUAGUAAUUUCUUAAUAAAUUGAUUACUUGUUCCAAAUUUUUAAUGGUUAUCAGCCCCUUUUGGCUUUGAAUGCCUCAACUGUGUGCUUUCUUAGUUUUCUCUACAAAUUACUACUUGUGAACUUUUAUACUAAAACCCCUUCUUGUAGCAUGGUGUUUUUGAUACUCAUCAGCUAUUUGUAGUUCAUAUUAAACCAAGCUGGUUAUUCAUCACAGUUGUUUCUGUUGGCGGACUUUCUUGGUUGUCUCAGUAAAUUUAGGUAUUUGCAAGAGGAAUCUAAAAUCUGUACCGGCUAUAAUACUAGCUAAUACUUGUAUAUCCAUGGAGUUAUUGUCUGUUUCACCUGCAUCCUUCCUCUGGUUAAUAAAUUUUGGAUUUAUAUCACCUAGCUAUAUGUUGGAUUGCCAUUGAUGCUACUUACAAGUAUAGUCCUACAUAAAAAUGCACAAUAUGGUGACAGAAUUUAAUUGGCAGUGCACAAUAUGGUCACUGAAAUAAUUAGAAGUGGAGUCUUUUUCUGGUUUCUUUUAGGUUUCGAUGACAGCCUGGAUAUGCUUUCAGUGGCUUAUCUCAGUAAUACUAGCUCAAGUUUUGCGAACUAGUGUAAUUUUUUGUCAUGUAUUGGUAAGAUCUCCAAGAAUUAGGCAAAUAUGUCUAGUUAUGCUUCUCAAAGUUCAUUGAAGGAUUGAUAUGUAGAAUGCAGGUGAUCGGACUUGUGACAAAGUAACGUGACCGAGUUUAAACCCACUCUUGUAGGAGUAUAUGUUUUCUACUAUUGUUUGCGUUCAUAUCUCUACUUCAAUAACUCUCGAGUGAAUGUAUUCAGACUCUGCUAGUAGAGUUAUUUUCCCAUUUUUAUAUCAUUCAAAAUUUAUUUUGAGUUAUUAGUAUUA